rnacentral:ncRNA from 1 species
UUACUAUGGUCGAUAUAGGACUGAGAAUCCUAUUCUAGGCCAAUUUGUAGGAGUGAACCUCCUGCUAUAAACCAUCAAAUUGACGGGAAAGCCCUAAAGCAAUUUAAACCAAACAGAUGUGGUAACACAUUUGUGGCACAGGUAAUGACUCGUGGUAUGGUAAAAUAGAAAUUGAUGACGAAAGGAAAUGGGUAAUCCGCAGCCAAGCUCCCUUUAUAUGUAAAAAAAGAGGUGUGCAGUUCAUCGACUAGAUGUGGGUUGGCUUCUUUUUAUUAAAAAAAAUUAGCUUAAGAUAUAGUCAAGCCCCGUCCGAAAGGAUGCA